rnacentral:rRNA from 1 species
UCCGAAGGGGGCGAGCGUUGUUCGGAUUUACUGGGCGUAAAGGGCGCGCAGGCGGCCGCUCAAGUCAGGCGUGAAAGCCCCGGGCUUAACCUGGGAACUGCGUCUGGGACUGAGUGGCUAGAGUUCGGGAGAGGAGAGUGGAAUUCCCAGUGUAGAGGUGAAAUGCGUAGAUAUGAGGAGGAACACCGGUGGCGAAGGCGGCUUUCUGGACAGUAACUGACGCUGAGGCGCGAAAGCUAGGGGAGCAAACAGG